rnacentral:rRNA from 1 species
AUGGCCUCCGACUCGGAUCGCCUUCGUGCGCUCAAGGCCUUCGACCACACCAAGGCCGGCGUCAAAGGCCUCGUUGAUGCUGGCGUCACCACCAUCCCCUCCAUCUUCCACCACCCACUGCCCAUAGAGCGCACAGAUCAUGAUCAGCACUUCACCAUCCCGGUCAUCGACCUCGCGGCUGCCACGGGUGGUACUACUACCACACCAUCCAAGCGAGUUGAGCUGGUUGGAGCGGUGAAGGCGGCCGCAGAGACGGUGGGCUUCUUCCAGGUAGUGAACCAUGGCGUGCCGAAGGCGGCCAUGUCGGAGAUACUCAUGGCAGUGCAGGGAUUCCACGAGCAGCCGAGGGAGGCCAAGGCACCGUACUAUACCCGGGACCUUGGUCGGCCCGUGAGGUACUGGAGCAACUUCGACCUGUUCCAGUCACCGGCGGCCCAGUGGCGCGACACCUUGUACAUGCAGAUUACGCCGGAGCUGCCGCAACUGGAGGAGAUCCCACCCGCGUGCCGGCCCAUCGCGCUGGAGUAUGCGAGGCUGAUGCAGCAGCUAGGACGCACCCUGCUUGAGCUGCUGUCGGAGGCCCUGGGCCUCGAUCCUGGCCACCUGGAGGAGGACGCCGCAUGCCUGGAGAGGCUCGCCGGCCACUAUUACCCGCCCUGCCCAGAGCCGCACCUAACACUGGGCACCACGCGCCACUCCGACCCUUGCUUCCUCGCCGUGCUUCUCCAGGACGCUGUCGGCGGCCUCCAGGUGCUUCUCGAGAACAACAACAACAACAACAACAACAACAACAAGUUGUCUGCUGUGUGGGUAGAUGUGCCGGCGGUGGAAGGCGCGCUGGUGGUGAAUGUCGGCGACUUCCUGCAGAUCGUCUCCAACAACAGGUUCAAGAGUGUGGAGCACCGCGUGGUGGCCCAGAGCGCCGGGCCUCGCGUCUCCGUAGUCUGCUUCUUCCGAAGGCAGGACGCGGCCACGUCCACCAGAGUGCUAGGGCCAAUCGUCGCUGACGGCGAGGCGCGCUUCAGGAGCACGACGAUGGCGGAGCUGAUCCGGCACAACAGGGCCAAGGGCCUCGAUGGCACCUCUGCGCUGCAGCACUUGAGGCUCUGA